ACAACAUUCGGACCAUCGGUCUACCGAGUAAUAGAGUAGUAUCACCCGCUCGAUGGAAGAUCUUCCCUUUGUCGU
rnacentral:pre_miRNA from 1 species